rnacentral:rRNA from 1 species
AUUGAACGCUAGCGGGAUGCUUUACACAUGCAAGUCGAACGGAGUGGCGGACGGGUGAGUAAUAUCUCGGAACGUGCCCAGUAGCGGGGGAUAACUACUCGAAAGAGUGGCUACUACAGCCUACUAUUAGCGCGGCCGCGCUCGGAUUAGCUAGGUGGUGGGGUAAAGGCUCACCAAGGCAACGAGCCGUAGCUGGUUUGAGAGGACGACCAGCCACACUGGGACUGAGACACGGCCCAGACUCCUACGGGAGGCAGCAGUGGGGAAUUUUGGACAAUGGGGGAAACCCUGAUCCAGCCAUCCCGCGUGUAUGAUGAAGGCCUUCGGGUUGUAAAGUACUUUUGGCAGAGAAGCGGUAUCUGCAGAAUAAGCACCGGCUAACUACGUGCCAGCAGCCGCGGUAAUUC